AGCCCCGGCCGGGGAGGGAGGCUGCUCCCAAAGCCGCUCUGACGAGGGGCUGGCGGCCCCGCCCGGCUUCCAGGGUCGCGCGGCCGGGGGGCGGCGCCACAGCCCACCUGCCUCAGCCGGCGGGGAGAUCCGCUUUCAGCGCACGGACAGACGUAACAGCGGGGACACGACGAGCCUCGGUCACCGCCGCAGCCGGGGUGGCGCACGCCGCCUCAAGCCUCCAUGUUUCCCACGUCUCCACGGCUCCGGCUCCGGCUCCUCUGCUCGGCUCCGGCCCGGGCAGCGUCGAGGCGGAGGCCCGGAGGCGGGGACUGAAGAGAGAAGCAAGCGGGGAACGCCGCUGGGGGCCGAACGGCCCAGCGCGCGCCCGCUGGCGGUCACGUGGCAUGCGGCGCGCGGGCUUCUGGGAACUGUAGUCCUGAGCGGGGGGCGUUAGGCGUUUCUCCGCCCGCCUGCGCUUCCAGGGUAACGGCAAAGCCACGUGGCAAAACCGAGACACUGCUUGACUUUCUCACCCUAGUGCUGACGUCCUGGCUUACCCCGCAGCGUUUGUGCUGGGAUCUUACGUUUAUUAAAGGCCCCUGUUCAUUCCAAUCCAAUAGUCACCUUAGAAUCAAGCAGUUCCUUGGAGGACUCUGAAGAAUUUGGGAAAUAGGGAAAUAGUGUUCGAUGGAGCUCGGGUAGCAGGAACAGCUUACCAUCCUGUCAGAAAGAACAGGUCCGACAUAACAGAGUGUUGAUAUGGUGCAGCGCCAAAAGCAUGGAAUUUGUAGUCAGAUAAGCUGAGGUUACCAGACUGAUGUCACUGAGCCUUUAGUUCACCUCUCCAGCCAGUUUUCUCAUAUAAAAUAUGUAUACAAGACCAUAAUUAUACUUCCCAUACAGAACGCUUGUCGAUGGCAUGAUAGUAAUUAACUCAGAUUAUGGAUUGUUUUCUAUGUGCUGUCCAAUACUUAAUUUCUUCAAAUAACGCUGUGAGAUAGGUAACUGUUAUUUCCUUAAUAUAAAUAGUAUAUGCCAAUAUACUGAAGUAUAUUGAAGUAUUAUAGAGGUCUUAUAUAUACUUUUCCAGCUUUUAUUGCCAGCAGGUUCUCUGAAUUUGCAGAAUUACUACAAAAAAUAAACUAAAAUAUAAGAUACCUGGGAGCCUAGCUAAAAAGAAGUGGACAUGGCUAUGCAACCGUUGUAAAUAAUGCUAUGGCUACCGUGUUCAUGAUACGUGGAGUAGAAACAGUAUGUAUGGUAUUAUUUCAUAUAAAUAUAAUUUAUUUUUGAAAAUUGGAUAAUAAAUUAUGUUUAUAAUACUUAUGUAUGUACUCCCAAGGGGGGAGAGGCUAAAAGAAUUUUAACAGUUAUUCUCUUUGGGGAAUAAGAGCAUGUAUGAUUAAAAAUAGUUUUUUUCAUAUGUGUUUUCUAA
rnacentral:lncRNA from 1 species